rnacentral:sRNA from 1 species
CGUGUAACAAUUCCUCCGUGUAACUCUUAAUGUUCUCAUCGCGAUCCUGCUCCGCGCUCGUGUAGUUCCUAACAAUUCCUCUGCAUAACCCUCAAUGUUCUUUCACUCCGCGCUCCACUGUGGUGUGGCUUCUGAUAUUCCUCUGUUCCAAUCUCCCCUCUAUAAGAACCUCUUCAUAUGAUCUUUUCUUCUGAUCUCAUUUCUCUUUCUUUUCUUAAUCAAUUCAUAAUCUGUAUUUAGAAUAGUGCUAGAUUGUUAAUUGAAGUACAUUCAUUACAUUAUGAAUUGAUUCUUCUGUGUUUAAGAUCUGAGUGUCUUAUUAUUAGUUUUUACAUCUGAGUGCAUUGUUUAUAGAUCUGAGUGUCUAGUUGUUACAAGAGAUUUCUUAUG